rnacentral:rRNA from 1 species
ACGGAAGGCAGCAGUGAGGAAUAUUGGUCAAUGGAGGCAACUCUGAACCAGCCAUCUCGCGUGAAGGAAUACGGCCCUAUGGGUCUUAAACUUCUUUUAUAGGGGGAUAAAGUGAGGCAUGCAUGCCUUUUCGUAGGUACCCUAUGAAUAAGCAUCGGCUAACUCCGUGCCAGCAGCCGCGGUAAUACGGAGGAUGCGAGCGUUAUCCGGAUUUAUUGGGUUUAAAGGGUGCGCAGGCGGCACGUUAAGUCAGCGGUGAAAUGCAGGGGCUCAACCCCGGCACUGCCGUUGAAACUGGCGAGCUCGAGUACGGAUGAAGUCGGCGGAAUGUGAUGUGUAGCGGUGAAAUGCUUAGAUAUGUCACAGAACACCGAUUGCGAAGGCAGCUGACUAAUCCGCAACUGACGCUCAGGCACGAAAGCGUGGGGAUCGAACAGGAUUAGAUACCCUGGUA